GAGGAAAGUCCGGGCUUUAUUUAUAACAACGUAGCUGUAGAAAAUAUAGUAUAGGAAACUAUGAGGAUCGUGCCACAGAAAUAUACCGCUCAUAUUUAUUGAGUAAGGGUGCAAAGGUACGUUAAGUGCGUACCAGAAAUAUUUUUAAGAUAUUUGCUAGGUAAACCCCACGUUAUAGCAAAGCAACCAGUCUAUUUUGAUAUUGUUAUAAAUAUUAAUAUAUUUAAUAUUAACUCUGGUUUAUGUUUAUACUGCACAAAGUUAUCUAUUACUUAAGAUUAAUAAUUACCCUUGUCUUGUUUUUUAUAUAAAUGUUUUUUAUCAUUUUAUGAAUGUGAUAUAAUAUUAUUUUUCAAGGCAAAGAACAAAACCCGGCUUAU
rnacentral:RNase_P_RNA from 1 species